UGUGAGGAGCCCGCAAGGCCUGACUGCUUUUGUGUUCUUCGCACAGGCCAGCAGAGCCAGCCGCAGAGCAGCCAGCCCAACUACAGCAAGGCCUGGGAAGACUAUUACAAAAAACAGAGUCACGCCGCCAGCGCUGCUCCUCAGGCCAGCUCCCCACCGGACUACACAAUGGCCUGGGCAGAAUAUUACAGACAGCAGGUCGCUUUCUACGGACAGACGUUAGGGCAGGCGCAGGCCCACAGCCAGGAGCAGUAGGACAGCGUCCUCGUGGCCAACUCUCCCCU
rnacentral:sRNA from 1 species